rnacentral:rRNA from 1 species
UGGCGGCGUGCCUAACACAUGCAAGUCGAACGCGAAAGUCCCGCAAGGGAUAAGUAGAGUGGCAAACGGGUGAGUAACACGUGGGUGACCUGCCUUCGAGCGGGGGAUAACGUCCCGAAAGGGACGCUAAUACCGCAUAAUAUGCCGCCUUUUAACAGGUGGACAUCAAAGCUGGGGAUCGCAAGACCUAGCACUUGAAGAGGGGCCCGCGUCUGAUUAGCUAGUUGGUGGGGUAAUGGCUCACCAAGGCAACGAUCAGUAUCCGGCCUGAGAGGGCGGACGGACACACUGGGACUGAGACACGGCCCAGACUCYUACGGGAGGGAGCAGUGGGGAAUUGUUCGCAAUGGGCGCAAGCUUGACGACGCAACGYYGCGUGGAGGAUGAAGACCUUCGGGUCGUAAACUCCUUUCGAUCGAGACGAAUGGYCUCCGGGUGAACAAUCCGGAGGAGUGACGGUACCGAGAGAAGAAGCCCCCGGCUAACUCCGUGCCAGCAGCCCGCGGUAAUACGGGGGGGGCAAGCGUUGUUCGGAAUUACUGGGCGUAAAGGGCUCGUAGGUGGCCAACUAAGUCAGACGUGAAAUCCCCUCGGCUUAACCGGGGAACUGCGUCUGAUACUGGAUGGCUUGAGUUUGGGAGAGGGACGCGGAAUUCCAGGUGUAGCGGUGAAAUGCGUAGAUAUCUGGAGGAACACCCGGUGGCGAAGGCGGCGUCCUGGACCAACACUGACACUGAGGAGCGAAAGCCAGGGGAGCAAACGGGAUUAGAUACCCCGGUAGUC